rnacentral:tRNA from 1 species
GUGAGUGUAGCUCAGUUGGUAGAGUCCCAGAUUGUGGCUCUGGUUGCCGUGGGUUCAAGUCCCAUCACUCACCCCA